rnacentral:rRNA from 1 species
AUUGAACGCUGGCGGCAUGCCUAACACAUGCAAGUCGAACGGCAGCACGACCUAACUUGCUAGGUUGGUGGCGAGUGGCGCACGGGUGAGUAAUGCGUAGGAAUAUACCUUAAAGUGGGGGACAACCUGGGGAAACUCAGGCUAAUACCGCAUGAGCUCUAAGGAGGAAAGCUGGGGACAUGUCGGGGCCUGGCGCUUUGAGCAUAGCUUACGUCCGAUUAGUUAGUUGGUGGGGUAAAGGCUAACCAAGACGAUGAUCGGUAGCUGGUCUGAGAGGAUGAUCAGCCACACUGGGACUGAGACACGGCCCAGACUCCUACGGGAGGCAGCAGUGGGGAAUAUUGGACAAUGGGGGAAACCCUGAUCCAGCGAUGCCGCGUGUGAAGAAGGCCUGCGGGUUGUAAAGCACUGUCGGUGGGGAGGAGGACUUAUAGGUUAAGAGCUAAUGAGUUGGACGUUACCCACACAAGAAGCACCGGCUAACUCCGUGCCAGCCGCCGCCGUAA